AAGGCUCUCCAAAUACCGAGAGUUGCCUUCCAAAUGGGGUCCACAAUCAAUUUUAAAACCUUAACCUAAAAGGCACAUGUCCUACAUAAGGGUUUUUUACAAAAUUGCCCCUAAAAGGGUCCAAAACACCUAAUUCUAAUUAAGGACUUCUAGAAAACGAAAUUACAACUUUAAUUAGAAUCUAAAUGACUAAAUGUUGAGCCUUUGAAUGUGUCACGCCAUAUCCCAAUGCUCCAGAUGAUGUUUCCACAACUUCCCUG
rnacentral:lncRNA from 1 species